UCAGGGUGCCACAGUUUACUGGCCAACAACACUGCAUAGCUGAGAUAACUGUGCUCAUACGUUAGGAUCCAAGUUUCAGAUUUAAACCUCUCAGCGACUUCUCCAUCAUUAUGUCUGCCUGCAUGCCAUCAUGAUUCCCUUCAUGAUGAAGUAGGACUACAUCUCUGAAUGAUAUAUCUUCACAGCAAUAGAACAUUGGCUGAGGUGUAUGAUAAAGGAAAGAGCUGAUA